UUGAACAUUCAAUUAUCAAUCAAUCUCAUUAAUUAAAUUCUGAAGUUGUGUUACCUAAAGUUGUUUUUUGUUAGUUUAGGAAGAUAUCGUGCCAACAUUUUUUUUCUAAAAAAGGAACUGGUCUCUUUAUUAAUAAUAAAGCUCAAAGUACAAGAGAAGAGAAUGAUACAUAGAGCGAGAAUAUCGAGACCAGAGGAUUAGUAGGCACAGCCAAACAUCUCAACUAAGUUGACACUAUUGAAGUUGGAGCAAAAUAUGAAAUAACUCCCUUGCUUCAUUCUAUACAAUAGACUAUAGAGUUCAAUAUAUAUAGCCAUACAUGGAAACCCUAACUAAAGACUCGUAAAUUACAAUAAAAGACAAAAGACUAAUAAGCUCCUAUAGUAACAUACAUACUCUAACACUGCCCCUCAAGCUUCUUGGCUGGAAUGACAGUAUUUGAUGACUGGAAUGAAACUACAAGGUUCUUGGAAGAUUUGUUUCAAGUGAAGAUCAUCAUUAACUCCUUUUUUUACACGGAUCCAAGCUCCUUCUCUUUCAACCAGAUCAGCCCCUCAGAGAUCCAACCUUCCACAUUUUAAAUAUUCUGAUUUUUCCCUACCUACCUCAAAAGUAAAAUUUUUGAGAGGCUCCCCCUAUCCAAAACUUCGGACCCUCCUAAAAAGAAAUGUGAUUCCGAUUUUGACACUCUCCUUUUAGUGUGAGCAGUGUCGAAGAUGAUCAUUUGGGGAAGAGAAUACUAGUUUUAUCUAAAAGGUAAGUUCUCUCUCCCUUUCUCUCUUUUCUCUCACCUAUCCUCUUUCUUCCCUCCUUCUGGCAGCAACAUGGAAGUGAAGAGCUGUAAAUUUGCGGAGUCUUUCUACUGCAUUUGGUUUUAAAAGGGGCACUUCAACAUUGAAGAUGGAGCUAUAAGAGUGACAAAGUUCAGAGCUUCUUCUGGAUGGAUAGCCAGAUGUGUUGCUCAAAAUACCUCAGAGUUUCAGUCUUUUGUGCACGUUUAUUCAGAGGUUGAGAUGCCUAGAUGCACCUGCUGUUCCUCUCUAUUAUUAUCACGAUUGAAUGUACCUUGUACAAGCUUUCUAUUAUAUCAAUGAAAUUUCCAGUUUCCGUUUAAAA